rnacentral:rRNA from 1 species
AGUGAACGCUGGCGGUAGGCCUAACACAUGCAAGUCGAACGGCAGCACAGUAAGAGCUUGCUCUUACGGGUGGCGAGUGGCGGACGGGUGAGGAAUACAUCGGAAUCUACUUUUUCGUGGGGGAUAACGUAGGGAAACUUACGCUAAUACCGCAUACGACCUACGGGUUGAAUCAGGGGAUCUUCGGACCUUGCGCGAUUGAAUUAGCCGAUGUCGGAUUAGCUAGUUGGCGGGGUAAAGGCCCACCAAGGCGACGAUCCGUAGCUGGUCUGAGAGGAUGAUCAGCCACACUGGAACUGAGACACGGUCCAGACUCCUACGGGAGGCAGCAGUGGGGAAUAUUGGACAAUGGGCGCAAGCCUGACCCAGCCAUACCGCGUGGGUGAAGAAGGCCUUCGGGUUGUAAAGCCCUUUUGUUGGGAAAGAAAAGCAGCAGGUUAAUACCCCGCUGUUCUGACGGUACCCAAAGAAUAAGCACCGGCUAACUUCGUG